CCUCUAAUGGUAUCUGCUUUCUUCCCAAUGUACUCAAAGAGAACAAGAACAGCCACCAUCUCUAGUUUCUCCAAUCCACCCUCUGCAGAAAAUGAGCAAAUGACUCAUCCCAUUUCCAAGCUUCCUGCAAAACCCAAGCCAAGAACUGAACAAAGGAAUAAUUCACCAGUCAGGUGCCUUGCUCACUGUUUCUUGCUCAAUAUCACCGUGAACUCCUGGAAGCUUUACAGUGAGACUUCAAGGCUGGAACAUUAGGCUUGCACAGGCUACUAUGUUAUAAAUAAGUAAAAUAAAUUUCAUGAACGUUUGCAGUUA